UAUUCCCUCCUAAGACCGCUCACAUCUUUUAGCUUGUGCCUUUUUUGCAGGUGCUUUGAUUCCACUUGUACUUCAACGGUCUGUGAGCUACUUCUAUUCUCUUUAGGAGACUGGCAACUUCCUAAAGGCAGAGCAUGAAUUGGGGGACAAUUGGCCACCAUUAUGGAGUGUCUACUCUGCCUUGCUCUGCACCUGUGGAUCCUCAGAACAAGGAAGCUUGGUUCUUCUCCUUCUGCCCGUUUUGUAGGGGAGGAAACAGUGGAAACUCAGAGGUGCAGACAUGUGCCUAAGGAUAUACAAAAGAUAAGGAGCAGAGCUGACAUCAGAACUCAAGCUUGCAAAUGUGUAUGCGGGCCACCAUGCCACAUCUGCCACCUCUCUCACAGCACUGCUGGGGGAACAGGAGAGGCAUUGGAGGUGGCGGGCUUUGCCCUACUACACAUGACAUACUCAUUUUAAAUAAGGACUUUGAUCUGGAAGCAGGAUAGGGUAUUUAUUGCCUCAACUCAGCUUGAUUUGGGCUCUUCUGUCCCACAAAUGACACCAACCCUCACCGGCCUGAAGGCCUUGCCUGGAAGAGAAGGAGCAGUGGCGUGAAGUCAGAAGAGGUGCGUUUACCUGCCAGCUUUGCCUCUGUUUGUGUUCUCUCCCUGAGCCUCAGGAAUCACAUUUCAGUAAUGGUUUUGCUAUGAGAAUUUGGAAGCAGCAUGUGUAAAAACCCUAGCUCAGAUUGGGCGCUGGAUAGACAUCAGCAGCGAAGAUUCACUGAGUUUGCGCCAGGGCAGGCAGUGGAACAGGUACAUUAAUGCAUAUCCCAAAUCCUCACAGCCACCCAGAAGUAGAUCCUGUUACUGUCAUCACGGCUACCCGAUCAGAAAACUGAAGUUCCGAACAAGGCAAGAACUGCAUUGUGAGUGGAUUUUCAACCCAGAAAUGCACUUUGAAGAGACAUGCGUUCGUAAGAGGUCGCUCCUGAGAAUGUGACAAAAAUCGCUGUGUGCCACCUGGCUUUCUUCUUUGUGAGUCUAUAUCUAGAAGCAGGCUAGAUUGAUGCUCUGUGGUAUUAUUCUAACCAACAGCAAGCUGGGCAUGUUGGCUCAUGCCUGUAAUCCCAGCACUUUGGGAGGCCGAAGCGGGUGGAUCAUGAGGUCAGGAGAUCGAGACCAUCCUGGCUAACACGGUGAA